CUGAUCUUUGGGAUGGGUAAGCAAAUCUUUCUUUAUUUAGAUUGUGACUAUUGCUUUUUGGAGGGAAGUUUAGAACUGGUAAUCUGAUAUUGCCUUUCCCUAUGCCUUUCCUUGCCACUUUGUGCCAACUGUCCUUUCAUUGAAAAUGAUGGAAUUGCUCAAAGCCAGAGCUGUAGAACAGAAUGAAAUGACUCUACUGAGGAAAAGGGGCUUAUUAUUGUGCAUUCCUGGUGCUGUCAGCCAACUCUAUGAGUAAAUAUUGUUUUACAAAUAAAAGCCUGCAGCUAUUGCUGGCUUUUGCCUGAGGUGAGCUUUCUGCAUAAAUCACGAUGGCAUGCAAUUUUCUUGGUAAUACACUAACAGGAAGGUUUAAAACAUUUGAGAGAUUCAAACUGAACUGUGAGUUCUGUCAAAAACACCAAAACCUGUAACAAGACCAGAAUGGUACCAGAUCCCCCUGCUGGAGUCCUUCCCUCUGCAGCUUCCAGGGUCACCACGUGUUUGAAGAGGAAGGCCAUGUGAGAAGACAAGCACAUGUCUCUUUCAUCUCAUUUGGCAGUUAAGAGAUCUGUGGGGAGUUGGUUGUCAGGGAAAAAGUGCCCGUUUUUCCCUUUAUUUUCCUUUGUAAAGAAGCAACAUGACUACAUUCCUAGGAACCAUAUGCCAGAGCACUCCAGGAGAUGGGGCUGCUGAAAGCAGUGGUAUGCAUUGCUUCCAAACAACUGGUGAAGCAAAUAUCUUGAAGAAAGUCAGCCUUGCCUCUGGGAUCUGAGUCAUUCAGAUUGGGAAGAUCCAGGGACGAUGACUGUUCCACCUGCACAAAGAUGAGAACACACAUGGUCACAGCAUUUCAAACAUCCCUCCAACAUGAGAAGCAAGGGAAUAAGAUGCAAUGUAAGCAGAAGAAAGGCAGUCAGGCUGUACUUUGAUAUACAUUUAAACUGGCACUGUUAUCAGAGCUCCAGCAUCCUUUGUCCCAGUUUCACUCUCUUGCACGCAUCCACCUCCACAGUUCAUUUGCUGUGCAUAGGCACAAUGGGGAUGUAUCUUCUGAACAGGACACUGUGGGAUGUGAGAGCAACUCUGGCCACAUUAAUUCAGCUACCCAACUUUUUAGACAUAUUUCCACAGAAUGAAAUAUCCAAUCUCCAUCCUGGAUUGCAGUGCUUUAUGAAGGCACAAACAGACCGAUGGGAAAUGCAGCUCUCAGGCAGGAUUCGUGUAAGGUUUAUUUCAAUGUAGCAGAGGUUUAAGUCCUUUCAACCCCUGCUGUCACAAAAGAGCUUGGAAUCCCACCUCCUAAAGCUUCUUGGAAUGCCCUGCUUUUCAGACCUAGCAGCUCUAACAUCUAGCUGUGAAUUGGAUGCUUACCGAACAAGAGGUGUAUCAAGCAGAAAUGAAAAUGUGCUGCAGCGCACAGCCUGAUGGGCACUGUGCAAGGACCUCACGUUGCCUCCUGCUCAGCAAGGCAUGUCUCUGCUCUGCUUAGACCGAGGCAGAGAUUUCCAAGUUCAGCUUCAAGAAGAAAGGCCAACCCCUGGGCCAGAUCAGCCUUCAUGCAAGCCCUACGACAAGGACAUGCCAGGGAAAACCUUCAUGUCCUGCAGCAUCCGUGGGCUCAACCUGCUUUGGAAUAAUAGAGCACAUCUUUUGCCGUUUGUUCACGGCAGCAAAGCCUCCUGAAGGGCUAUUCAGUGACUGACAUCAAUGGAAGCAGGGAUAAAUAACCGCAAAGUGCUGCUUUGUUUUCUGCUGUUGGAAGAACUCGAUGAGGGAGCGUUCUGUGUCCGUUUAACCUAAAUGAUGCGGAGCUGACUGUGCUAGCCUGCAGAGCCGUGUUUGUUUAUCCAGCAACACUAAGCACAAGCGCUUGGCAGGCUGUGCUCCAGCUAUUCCGGGAAGUUUUUUCUUAGAGAGUCCCACUGUCCUUUCAAUGUUCUCUAAUGCAAUGUUCACGGCGUUUCUCCAGUGAAGGUUACUGCAAAUCACCCAGCGUGGAAAAUGAGGAGGAAGGGGUACUGAUCUACUUCAAAUACUUCUAACUGCUUUGUAUUUGCUAGUGCCAGCAUCUCCCAUGGACUCAGGCAGGCAGAUGACUAUGGGGAGAUGUUUACUGGAGAGUCUCCAGCACAGAAGCUUGUUACCACUGCCUGGACCACGUCUGUGCUUUGGAGGCCGGGACAUCCCAGCUCCCUGCCUGCUCCCAGACCCCAUUUCCGAGGGAUGUAGAUGCCCUCAAUCACAGUGCCCUCUCUGGGAGCUGUGCUCAGUGCAGGGCUGGGUAGGAUAAGAGAAGAGCGUGUGUGGGAAUGGGUGGAUGUCCUUAAGUCAGCAGAGCUAAUGGAUUCCAUCCCGAAGCGCUUGGGAACACAGCCAGGGAAAAUUCUAAAGCAUUAGUGAUUAUCUCUGAGAAGUGACGGUGGCAGGCCCCGAGAGACAUGAGAAACAAACACUGCCCAGCUUUAAAAAGGAGAAAAGAGGCCCUGGGAGUUAUCCGCCAGCCUGCCUAACUCUAUUUCUUGGAAAGAUACUGGAACAAAUCAUUAAAUAAUCAGUAUAAACACCUAGAAGAUAAUAAAAUGACAAAAAGAGCCAGCAUGGAUUUCUUAAGAAUAAAUCACAUCAAAUCAAUCUCAUUUUCUCUUCUGGCAGAACAGCAGCCCUGCUGAAUGAGGGAGAAGCGGAUGUGAUAUAUCCUGAGUGUAAGAAGUGUGUGCUCAGUAUUACAUGACAGCCUUGUGAGCAAAUUAGGGGCAUGUGAGCAAAAUGGAAACAAACAAAAUCACCACGAUUUGGGUGCGUAAGCACGAGGGAAAAUGCUUCCCAAAGAGGCUGUUUGGAGUGCAAGCACACGAGCCUGGUUUGCUCAUCAUGUUCAUUAAUAACUGAUUUGUAUGAUAGCAAAGAUAAUACAGUCU